CAGGAGUAAGAGUCAGCCAUGGAAAAAAGCACGUGUGCUACUUGGAUAUAUCUGGAGAGGUAUUUCUAGAAGAGAUAGGGAAAUGUUAAUGCUCUUGCACCAGGCACUGGCGUGACUGUAACUGGAGUCUUGUGUACGGUAUAGUCACCUGCAUUGAAGAAACAUGAAUUCAAAUGGAGCAGGUUCAGAGAAGGGGCACCCUGUCGAUGUGGGAGAGUGCAGAGCUUCUAUCACUUGAGAGGUCCGUUUGCUGCACCUGGCAAAACAAAGGCUGAGGAGGCUCCAACAGGUGGAGACAAGCCGCACGGCUAGACACGGCACGCCACCACCUGCCUGGCCCAAGGCAAGAAGCAGAGCCCCCAGGGUUUGGAUCCCUCCAGAGAACGUGUUUGGAGGACAGGAGCCCAGGUGCAGGCAGUAGGAUGUCACCACUUUUGCUAAGCAUGAGUGGGGCUGCAAUGAGUAUAAAGAGCACCUUUAAAAAAAUAGUCUCCUGGCAAAAGAUCUGUAAGAAGAGGAGGCCACCCUACUUAAGCAGAAACCAAAUCUGGAAGUCUUACAUCAGCUCCAAAAUAUGAUGAGGAUGGUAGGACCAUGCCUGCACCCCCACCCACUUGCUGUGCAUCUGAGAGCCUGCUGUUGAUCUGGGUGAGUGUUAAGUGU